UACGAAGGGGGCUAGCGUUGCUCGGAAUCACUGGGCGUAAAGAGUGCGUAGGCGGCUUUUUAAGUCAGGGGUGAAAUCCUGGAGCUCAACUCCAGAACUGCCUUUGAUACUGAAGAUCUUGAGUUCGGGAGAGGUGAGUGGAACUGCGAGUGUAGAGGUGAAAUUCGUAGAUAUUCGCAAGAACACCAGUGGCGAAGGCGGCUCACUGGCCCGGUACUGACGCUGAGGCACGAAAGCGUGGGGAGCAAACAGG
rnacentral:rRNA from 1 species